ACUUAAAUAGCUUAUAAAGAGUUUAAUAUUGAAGAUAUUAAGGAGAUUAAAAAAUCUUUAAGUA
rnacentral:tRNA from 1 species